UACAGAGGGUGCGAGCGUUAAUCGGAAUUACUGGGCGUAAAGGGUGCGUAGGUGGUUGCAUCAGUUAGGUGUGAAAGUCCUGGGCUUAACCUGGGGAUUGCGCCUAAUACUGUGUAGCUAGAGUACUGUAGAGGAAAGUGGAAUUUCCGGUGUAGCGGUGAAAUGCGUAGAUAUCGGAAGGAACAUCAGUGGCGAAAGCGACUUCCUGGACCAGUACCGACGUUCAGGCACGAAAGCGUGGGGAGCAAACAGG
rnacentral:rRNA from 1 species